UACGUAGGAGACGAGCGUUGUCCGGAGUUACUGGGCGUAAAGGGUGCGCAGGUGGCGUCGCGCGUGGGGGGUGAAAUCGCCCGGCUUAACUGGGCGGGGGCCUUCCAGACGGCGUGGCUUGAGCAGCGGAGGGGGAAGUGGAAUUCCGGGUGGAGCGGUGAAAUGCGUAGAGAUCCGGAGGAAUACCAGAGGCGAAGGCGGCACCCUGGGUCUGACCUGACACUGAUCCGCGACAGCAUGGGGAGCGAACGGG
rnacentral:rRNA from 1 species